rnacentral:rRNA from 1 species
GACGAACGCUGGCGGCGUGCUUAACACAUGCAAGUCGAACGGAAAGGCCCUUCGGGGUACUCGAGUGGCGAACGGGUGAGUAACACGUGGGUGAUCUGCCCUGCACUUUGGGAUAAGCCUGGGAAACUGGGUCUAAUACCGAAUAGGACCACGCGCUUCAUGGUGUGUGGUGGAAAGCUUUUGCGGUGUGGGAUGGGCCCGCGGCCUAUCAGCUUGUUGGUGGGGUAAUGGCCUACCAAGGCGACGACGGGUAGCCGGCCUGAGAGGGUGACCGGCCACACUGGGACUGAGAUACGGCCCAGACUCCUACGGGAGGCAGCAGUGGGGAAUAUUGCACAAUGGGCGCAAGCCUGAUGCAGCGACGCCGCGUGAGGGAUGACGGCCUCGGGUUGUAAACCUCUUUCAAUAGGGACGAAGCGCAAGUGACGGUACCUAUAGAAGAAGCACCGGCCAACUACGUG